AGCAGCCAAACACACCACUCCCUUCACACGCUACGUGGAGCACAUCAACUACCGGCUGGCCUCCUGUCACUUCUUCUCCUGCUGUCACCUUUCCGUAGCUUUUCACUCCCAACUAAAGUGCUGACUCAGAGCUGUAACUGUCUGCAGGCCAUGUCCAUCUCUGAGACCUGGUAUGCCGUUAAAGACCACGGCACCAACUACUGCAACAUCUACGAGCUCAUCCAAGAAAUCCCGGCGUUUCUGAGGCGUCCCCGACUCCAUUCUGCCCGUCAAAGACGCCGGAGAAGACGCGGUAAACGCGGAGGCCUCCGGGUCAGGCUGGAGGCCGAUCUUAGGUCUGCUCGUGUGGUGGAUUAUGGCACUAAGCGACACUUUCUGGAUGUUUCCCCUGCCCUGCGACUGCGACCGAGGAGGAUUAGAACUCCAUGGAUCCGGCCGGUGCUCUGACAGCGUCAGCUGUUCGCCGGACUCCG
ensembl:lncRNA